UUUUAUUUAAGUUUUUAUAACUAGUUUUUGGUCUAAUUUUUCAGUAAUCUAAGUUUUAGUUUUUACUGAUGAUAAUCAAAGAGUAAAUCUUAAUGUUUGUUGCUUCAGACUGUUAAGCAAUUCUACAUACAAGGAGGGGUCUUACUUGAUCACCACUUUCAAGCAAUAGGAUUAUCUAUUUAGAUUGUUUGCCUAUUUGGCAUUAAAGAGCUUCUCCAAUGCUAGGCUUGGGCAGGACAAGAACUCAGACAAGGUCUAAUAGACCUAUGUCUCUAGGAGGUGAGCCAAGUUCAAAUGCUAGGCUUGGGCCGGACAAGAACUCAGACAAGGUCUAAUAGACCUAUGUCUCUAGGAGGUGAGCCAAGUUCCUUGAGUUGUUUAUUUCAUUUGCUUGUUAUUUACAUUUUGUUUCUUGGUCAAGUUUUUUAUGGCACUGGGGUACAAGUAAAUACUUAUGAUUGAAUUAGUUCUGUUUGGUUAUCUUGGUAGUUGAUGCCAAUGUACAACAGUUCAAUUUUGAUCCUUGUAUAUGUUUUUGCUGGUGGUAUGACAAUAAUGUGGUCAGCUGUAUUUUCUUUUCUUUCAGUAUUUUGAGUAAUACUUGUUUUUUAGGGUCUAAUACAUCAACUUCUUUGUUAAUUGUAGG
rnacentral:lncRNA from 1 species